CCUGGUUGAUCCUGCCAGUAGCUAUAUGCUUGUCUCAAAGAUUAAGCCAUGCAAGUGUCAGUAUAAGCUGUAUAACGGCGAGACUGCGAAUUGCUCAUUAACUCAGUUAUGAUUUAUUUGAUUGUGGAAUAAGAAUUAUACGGAUAACCGUGGAAAAUCUGGGGCUAAUACGUGCUUACAUUGCAGCGCGCUUGCGCGCUGUUAGUACUUAUUUGAGAACUAGUGUCGGUCAUAGACCGGCCCAAUCAAAACCCAAUGCCCUUCGGGGCUUUGUGUUGACCCAAAAUAAUUUAUCGGAUCGGUAAUAGUGUCACCUUGUUGGUGUUACUUAUCGAUGGAUCAUUCAAAUUUCUGUUCUAUCAAUUUAUGAAGGUAGGGUAGUGGCCUACCUUGAUAUUGACGGAUACGGGGGAUCAGGGUUCGAUACCGGAGAGGAGGCCUGAGAGACGGCCGCCACAUCCAAGGAAGGCAGCAGGCGCGAAAAUUACCCUAAUCUCAACACGAGGAGGUAGUGACAAGAAAUAUCGACACGGGUUCCAUACGGGACUUGUAAAGUUGAAAUGAGGACAGUUUAAUUUUUCUUACCGAGGAGCUAUUAGAGGGCAAGUUGGGUGCCAGCAGCCGCGGUAAUACCCACUCUAAAAGUGUAUGUUAAAGUUGUUGCAGUUAAAACGCUCGUAGUCGGAUUCAAGUCGCCGCAUCAGUCUAGGAAGGCUUCGGCCAACCGUUAUAAGGACGACGUCAGCGACUAAUUGUUACUUUGAAUAAAAUUUGGUGUUCAAGGCAUGUUAUUUUAACCGCAUGAAAAUCUUAGCAUGGAAUAACAAAAAGACACGUUACGUGAUUUUGUUGGGUCUUUUGGUAAUGUGUAAUGGUUAAAUAGGGACAGACUCGGGGGCGUAAAUAUUGGGUAGGUAGAGGUGGAAUUCAAUGAUCUACUCAGGAUUAACUGAAGCGAAGGCGUUUCGUCAAGGAUGUUUUCGUUGAUCAAGAACGAAAGUUAGGGGAUCGAAGACGAUUAGACACCGUCGUAGUCCUAACCGUAAACUAUCUCGACUAGGGAUUGGUACAGGUAAUUACCGUUAUGGUGAUUGUACUGUAUCAGGACCUCUAGAGAAAUCGUUAAGUUUUUGGAGUCUGGGGGGAAGUAUAAUCGCAAGGUUGAAACUUAAAUCGGAAUUGACGGAAGAGCACCACAAGAGAUGGAGCUUGUUGCUUAAUUUGACUCAACGCGGGGAAGCUUACCAGGACUGGACCGAGAAAGGAUUGGCAAGCUAAUGGACUUUUCAAGAUUCUCGGAAUGGUGGUGCAUGGCCGUUCUUAGUUGGUGAAGUGAUUUGUCUGAGUUAAUUCCGUUAACGAGCGAGACCUUAACCUGCUAACUAGUGUUUUGCAUUCUGCCUUCGGGUGGAUGCUAUAGUAGAGUGCAUUAUGUUGCUCUACUGCACUUCUUAGAGGGACUACUAGUGUUGAACUAGAGGAAGCUUGAGGCAAUAACAGGU
rnacentral:rRNA from 1 species